GGAGAAAGAAAAUGAGGCCCAAGGGAAGAUAAAGUUUGCUUCAUCUAGUUUUAUGAGUGCUGGUCUGGGCUGGCCUAGGCUGGCCCUGUUUAUCUUUGGGCACUUGGAGACAUUCUUGUCCUGUGUGACCAGCCCUGCCUAGCUGGGGCGCAUGCCCAGAAGUGGUUUCUUGCUGAAGAUCUGAAGGCCUAGGGACAGGAGGGCUCUGUGCAUUUUUAAGGGCUUGCCUUCCAUCGGAAACAUCCGUGAAUGUAGGCUGAUACACCCUGAGUACGUCCCCAACAAGCUCUCCUGCAUUCAGCAGCGGGGGACACGGACAGCCCCCACCUCAAGUGUGUAUUCCGAAGUGUGAAGAGCUCCUAGUGACUUGCCUUACAAAUGGAGCUGGCUGAGGCCAUUAACUGUUUCAUAUUACAUGGCAGCUUUUAACCUCCAGUCUAAGAGAGCUUAAUGAGCAAUCGCCUGUCGAAUUUCAGGA